GCGCCUGUAGCUCAACUGGAUAGAGCAACGGCCUUCUAAGCCGUAGGUUGCAGGUUCGAGCCCUGCCAGGCGCGCCA
rnacentral:tRNA from 4 species